GAAGAAAUUGAAGAGCAGCUGUCAUAAAAAAAACAAUCAAUCAAAGACCACUAAAAGCAAUAGGGUCAUACAACGAAAUAGAAAACAUUGAUGGAUUCCAGCUUGAACAUCAGUUGUUUGGAUAGAUGCAAACAGAGUAAAGGAAGAUUGUGCAAAUAGAACACAUUGAUGGAUUCCAGCUUGAAGAGCAGUUGUUUGGAUAGCUGCAAACGGAGUAAAGGAAGAUU